rnacentral:rRNA from 1 species
UUAAGUUAUUAAGGGCGCACGGUGGAUGCCUUGGCACUAGAAGCCGAUGAAGGACGUUACUAACGACGAUAUGCUUUGGGGAGCUGUAAGUAAGCUUUGAUCCAGAGAUUUCCGAAUGGGGAAACCCAGCAUGAGUUAUGUCAUGUUAUCGAUAUGUGAAUACAUAGCAUAUCAGAAGGCACACCCGGAGAACUGAAACAUCUUAGUACCCGGAGGAAGAGAAAGAAAAUUCGAUUCCCUUAGUAGCGGCGAGCGAAACGGGAAGAGCCCAAACCAACAAGCUUGCUUGUUGGGGUUGUAGGACACUCUAUACGGAGUUACAAAGGACGACAUUAGACGAAUCAUCUGGAAAGAUGAAUCAAAGAAGGUAAUAAUCCUGUAGUCGAAAAUGUUGUCUCUCUUGAGUGGAUCCUGAGUACGACGGAGCACGUGAAAUUCCGUCGGAAUCUGGGAGGACCAUCUCCUAAGGCUAAAUACUCUCUAGUGACCGAUAGUGAACCAGUACCGUGAGGGAAAGGUGAAAAGCACCCCGGAAGGGGAGUGAAAUAGAACCUGAAACCGUGUGCUUACAAGUAGUCAGAGCCCGUUAAUGGGUGAUGGCGUGCCUUUUGUAGAAUGAACCGGCGAGUUACGAUUUGAUGCAAGGUUAAGCAGUAAAUGUGGAGCCGUAGCGAAAGCGAGUCUGAAUAGGGCGUUUAGUAUUUGGUCGUAGACCCGAAACCAGGUGAUCUACCCUUGGUCAGGUUGAAGUUCAGGUAACACUGAAUGGAGGACCGAACCGACUUACGUUGAAAAGUGAGCGGAUGAACUGAGGGAAGCGGAGAAAUUCCAAUCGAACCUGGAGAUAGCUGGUUCUCUCCGAAAUAGCUUUAGGGCUAGCCUCAAGUGAUGAUUAUUGGAGGUAGAGCACUGUUUGGACGAGGGGCCCCUCUCGGGUUACCGAAUUCAGACAAACUCCGAAUGCCAAUUAAUUUAACUUGGGAGUCAGAACAUGGGUGAUAAGGUCCGUGUUCGAAAGGGAAACAGCCCAGACCACCAGCUAAGGUCCCAAAAUAUAUGUUAAGUGGAAAAGGAUGUGGCGUUGCCCAGACAACUAGGAUGUUGGCUUAGAAGCAGCCAUCAUUUAAAGAGUGCGUAAUAGCUCACUAGUCGAGUGACACUGCGCCGAAAAUGUACCGGGGCUAAACAUAUUACCGAAGCUGUGGAUUGUCCUUUGGACAAUGGUAGGAGAGCGUUCUAAGGGCGUUGAAGCAUGAUCGUAAGGACAUGUGGAGCGCUUAGAAGUGAGAAUGCCGGUGUGAGUAGCGAAAGACGGGUGAGAAUCCCGUCCACCGAUUGACUAAGGUUUCCAGAGGAAGGCUCGUCCGCUCUGGGUUAGUCGGGUCCUAAGCUGAGGCCGACAGGCGUAGGCGAUGGAUAACAGGUUGAUAUUCCUGUACCACCUAUAAUCGUUUUAAUCGAUGGGGGGACGCAGUAGGAUAGGCGAAGCGUGCGAUUGGAUUGCACGUCUAAGCAGUAAGGCUGAGUAUUAGGCAAAUCCGGUACUCGUUAAGGCUGAGCUGUGAUGGGGAGAAGACAUUGUGUCUUCGAGUCGUUGAUUUCACACUGCCGAGAAAAGCCUCUAGAUAGAAAAUAGGUGCCCGUACCGCAAACCGACACAGGUAGUCAAGAUGAGAAUUCUAAGGUGAGCGAGCGAACUCUCGUUAAGGAACUCGGCAAAAUGACCCCGUAACUUCGGGAGAAGGGGUGCUCUUUAGGGUUAACGCCCAGAAGAGCCGCAGUGAAUAGGCCCAAGCGACUGUUUAUCAAAAACACAGGUCUCUGCUAAACCGUAAGGUGAUGUAUAGGGGCUGACGCCUGCCCGGUGCUGGAAGGUUAAGAGGAGUGGUUAGCUUCUGCGAAGCUACGAAUCGAAGCCCCAGUAAACGGCGGCCGUAACUAUAACGGUCCUAAGGUAGCGAAAUUCCUUGUCGGGUAAGUUCCGACCCGCACGAAAGGCGUAACGAUUUGGGCACUGUCUCAACGAGAGACUCGGUGAAAUCAUAGUACCUGUGAAGAUGCAGGUUACCCGCGACAGGACGGAAAGACCCCGUGGAGCUUUACUGUAGCCUGAUAUUGAAAUUCGGCACAGCUUGUACAGGAUAGGUAGGAGCCUUUGAAACGUGAGCGCUAGCUUACGUGGAGGCGCUGGUGGGAUACUACCCUAGCUGUGUUGGCUUUCUAACCCGCACCACUUAUCGUGGUGGGAGACAGUGUCAGGCGGGCAGUUUGACUGGGGCGGUCGCCUCCUAAAAGGUAACAGAGGGGCUCAAAGGUUCCCUCAGAAUGGUUGGAAAUCAUUCAUAGAGUGUAAAGGCAUAAGGGAGCUUGACUGCGAGACCUACAAGUCGAGCAGGGUCGAAAGACGGACUUAGUGAUCCGGUGGUUCCGCAUGGAAGGGCCAUCGCUCAACGGAUAAAAGCUACCCCGGGGAUAACAGGCUUAUCUCCCCCAAGAGUUCCCAUCGACGGGGAGGUUUGGCACCUCGAUGUCGGCUCAUCGCAUCCUGGGGCUGUAGUCGGUCCCAAGGGUUGGGCUGUUCGCCCAUUAAAGCGGUACGCGAGCUGGGUUCAGAACGUCGUGAGACAGUUCGGUCCCUAUCCGUCGUGGGCGUAGGAAAUUUGAGAGGAGCUGUCCUUAGUACGAGAGGACCGGGAUGGACAUACCUCUGGUGUACCAGUUGUCGUGCCAACGGCAUAGCUGGGUAGCUAUGUGAGGACGGGUUAAGUGCUGAAAGCAUCUAAGCAUGAAGCCCCCCUCAAGAUGAGAUUUCCCAACUUCGGUUAUAAGAUCCCUCAAAGAUGAUGAGGUUAAUAGGUUCGAGGUGGAAGCAUGGUGACAUGUGGAGCUGACGAAUACUAAUCGAUCGAAGACUUAAUCAA